rnacentral:rRNA from 1 species
UACGUAGGGGGCGAGCGUUGUCCGGAAUCAUUGGGCGUAAAGAGCUCGUAGGCGGUUCAGUAAGUCAGGUGUGAAAGCUCCGAGCUCAACUCGGAGAGGCCACCUGAUACUGCUGUGACUAGAAUCCAGUAGGGGAGUGUGGAACUCCUGGUGUAGCGGUGAAAUGCGCAGAUAUCAGGAAGAACACCAGCGGCGAAGGCGGCACUCUGGGCUGGAAUUGACGCUGAGGAGCGAAAGUGUGGGGAUCAAACAGG